rnacentral:tRNA from 1 species
GCUUUUGUGGUGUAAUGGUUAGCACACUCGGCGCGUAUUCGAAAGGUCUAGGUUCGAGUCCCGGCGAAGACU